UUUGAUUUUUUGGAUUAUGCCUGUCGAAUGAUCUACAUUGCUUCUGUCACUCCACGUUGCCCAUAUUUGAUGUUUUUGUUGGGUUCUUCUCAAAAGUUACAAAGAUGCUUACAUUCUUUAGUACAGUGCUUCACUUUGAUUUUUUGGAUUAUGCCUGUCGAAUGAUCUACAUUGCUUCUGUCACUCCACGUUGCCCAUAUUUGAUGUUUUUGUUGGGUUCUUCUCAAAAGUUACAAAGAUGCUUACAUUCUUUAGUACAGUGGUACGUUUUCCAUACUUUUUAUUGAUUAUUGUACUUUCAAUUUGGGUUAUUUGU